CUCUUAUCACGGUGACACUGAAACAGCCAAGUGCUAAAGUAAUUUUCAGCAACAACCAAGCAGAGCUGGAAUGUGUCAUCACUGGACAAGACCGAAACAUUGUCAGUAACACUGACAUCACAUGGGAAAUUGACGGAGUAAAUGUGACUGGCAGCAUUACUCCGACAUCGUCUGGCGGCGGGCAGUACAGCAAAACCAGCAAGAUGACUCGUACUUAUGAUGAGUGGAAGACAGUCAACAAAGUACGCUGUUCUGCCAUUAGAGCACAUAUGACACCAGUUAUUCAAGAUCUGACUGUCCACAAAGGAGAUGGCAGUCAGCCAGAAGUGUCAGUCAACAUCCUCCCAGUGGAGAACAUCGGCAAAGAAGACUCAGCUAAGGUCACUCUGGUGUGUCUGGUCUCCAGUCCUGUGCAGCAGGAUUACUACAUUGCGUGGUCAGAACAUGAUGGACAAAAAUCCCCCAUCUAUGCUGAUGGCGUUGACUUCCCGCCACAAAAGACCGAACAUGGCUACUCAGUCACAAGUGUUUACACCACCACCAACAAAAACUGGAAAGCGAAUUUCAUUUACAACUGCAACAUCAAGUCUGCUGGCACAAAUCGCUCCUUCAACUCUCAAGUGUCUAAGGCUAAGGCCAUGGAUUCAAAUCUGAAUUUUGCUCUGAGCUGCACAGACGAUGCCGGUGAAGAAGAUGAGUUCAGCAGUCUGUGGUCC